rfam:Otolemur garnettii contig060357, whole genome shotgun sequence.
GCCGGGCGUUGUGGCGGGCGCCUGUGGUCCCAGCUACUUGGGAGGCGGAGGCAGGAGACUCGCUUGAGCCCAGGAGUUGGAGGUUGCUGUGAGCUGUAAUGCCACGGCACUCUGCCCAGGGGGACAGCUUGAGGCUCUGUCUCAAAAAAAAAAAAGAUGAUUUAAAGUAUACAGAAGAAUAGAACACUAUAUCUUUUUUUUUUUUUUUUUUUGAGACAGAGCCUCAAGCUAUCCCCCUGGGUAGAGUGCUAUGGCCUCACAGCUCACAGCAACCUCCAACUCCUGGGCUCAAGUGAGGCUCCUGCCUCAG